rnacentral:rRNA from 1 species
GACGAACGCUGGCGGCGUGCUUAACACAUGCAAGUCGAACGAUGAAGCCGGAGCUUGCUCCGGUGGAUUAGUGGCGAACGGGUGAGUAACACGUGAGCAAUCUGCCCUUGACUCUGGGAUAACUGCGGGAAACUGUAGCUAAUACCGGAUACGACACCUUGGGGCAUCCCAGGGUGUGGAAAGAAUUUCGGUCAAGGAUGAGCUCGCGGCCUAUCAGCUAGUUGGUGAGGUAAUGGCUCACCAAGGCGACGACGGGUAGCCGGCCUGAGAGGGUGACCGGCCACACUGGAACUGAGACACGGUCCAGACUCCUACGGGAGGCAGCAGUGGGGAAUAUUGCACAAUGGGCGAAAGCCUGAUGCAGCAACGCCGCGUGAGGGAUGAAGGCCUCGGUUGUAAACCUCUUUAGCAGGAGAAGCGAAAGUGACGGUACCUGCAGAAAAGCACCGGCUAACUACGUGCCAGCAGCCGC